UGGGGAAUCUUGCGCAAUGGGCGAAAGCCUGACGCAGCAACUCCGCGUGCGGGAUGAAGGCCUUCGGGUUGUAAACCGCUUUCAGCAGGAACGAAAUUGACGGUACCUGCAGAAGAAGGACCGGCCAACUAUGUGCCAGCAGCCGCGGUAAUACAUAGGGUCCAAGCGUUGUCCGGAUUCAUUGGGCGUAAAGAGCUCGUAGGCGGCAUGGUCAGUCGGGAGUUAAAACGUAGGGCUUAACCCUGCGUCGCUUCCGAUACUGCCAAGCUUGAGUGUGACAGGGGAGAACGGAAUUCCUGGUGUAGCGGUGAAAUGCGCAGAUAUCAGGAGGAACACCGGUGGCGAAGGCGGUUCUCUGGGUCACCACUGACGCUGAGGAGCGAAAGCGUGGGUAGCGAACAG
rnacentral:rRNA from 1 species